CUCCCUUAGAGUUUGAUCCUGGCUCAGGACGAACGCUGGCGGUGCGCCUAACACAUGCAAGUCGAACGAGCGAGAGAGAGCUUGCUUUCUCAAGCGAGUGGCGAACGGGUGAGUAACGCGUGAGGAACCUGCCUCAAAGAGGGGGACAACAGUUGGAAACGACUGCUAAUACCGCAUAAGCCCACGGUGCCGCAUGGCACAGGGGGAAAAGGAGCAAUCCGCUUUGAGAUGGCCUCGCGUCCGAUUAGCUAGUUGGUGAGGUAAUGGCCCACCAAGGCGACGAUCGGUAGCCGGACUGAGAGGUUGAACGGCCACAUUGGGACUGAGACACGGCCCAGACUCCUACGGGAGGCAGCAGUGGGGAAUAUUGCACAAUGGGGGAAACCCUGAUGCAGCGACGCCGCGUGGAGGAAGAAGGUCUUCGGAUUGUAAACUCCUGUUGUUGAGGAAGAUAAUGACGGUACUCAACAAGGAAGUGACGGCUAACUACGUGCCAGCAGCCGCGGUAAAACGUAGGUCACAAGCGUUGUCCGGAAUUACUGGGUGUAAAGGGAGCGCAGGCGGGAAGACAAGUUGGAAGUGAAAUCUAUGGGCUCAACCCAUAAACUGCUUUCAAAACUGUUUUUCUUGAGUAGUGCAGAGGUAGGCGGAAUUCCCGGUGUAGCGGUGGAAUGCGUAGAUAUCGGGAGGAACACCAGUGGCGAAGGCGGCCUACUGGGCACCAACUGACGCUGAGGCUCGAAAGUGUGGGUAGCAAACAGGAUUAGAUACNCUGGUAGUCCACACCGUAAACGAUGAUUACUAGGUGUUGGAGGAUUGACCCCUUCAGUGCCGCAGUUAACACAAUAAGUAAUCCACCUGGGGAGUACGACCGCAAGGUUGAAACUCAAAGGAAUUGACGGGGGCCCGCACAAGCAGUGGAGUAUGUGGUUUAAUUCGACGCAACGCGAAGAACCUUACCAAGUCUUGACAUCCUCUGACGAACGUAGAAAUACGUUUUCUCUUCGGAGCAGAGAGACAGGUGGUGCAUGGUUGUCGUCAGCUCGUGUCGUGAGAUGUUGGGUUAAGUCCCGCAACGAGCGCAACCCUUAUGGUCAGUUACUACGCGAGAGGACUCUGGCCAGACUGCCGUUGACAAAACGGAGGAAGGUGGGGAUGACGUCAAAUCAUCAUGCCCUUUAUGACUUGGGCUACACACGUACUACAAUGGCGUUAAACAAAGAGAAGCAAGACCGCGAGGUGGAGCAAAACUCAGAAACAACGUCCCAGUUCGGACUGCAGGCUGCAACUCGCCUGCACGAAGUCGGAAUUGCUAGUAAUCGCAGAUCAGCAUGCUGCGGUGAAUACGUUCCCGGGCCCCUUGUACACACGCGCCCGUNC
rnacentral:rRNA from 1 species